GGGGCCGACUGGUUUUGACAGCAGGGAUAGUGGAAAGCAAGCACGCCGAGGGUUGGGUGAACGCCUCGUUAAAACCAAUGCUCAAGCCAUUAAACGGCAACAAUAGCGAUUACGCUCUCGCUGCCUAGUACAAGGUACUACAUGCAACGACGCUUCCGGAAAAAACCAUGACAGACGGUUCGUUUCCAACGAAGUGCAAAACAAUCAAAGUCGGUUCCGAACUCACCUCGCUUUCGGAUGUGCUCGGUAAUUAGGAAGAUAAGAGCGGGAUACGGAUGCUUUUCGCCAGUCCCGUUACGAAAACCAAAGGAAAGGCUAAGCGUGUAGAAACCUUUUUUGCUACUUGUUUGGACGGCGGUUCGAUUCCGCCCGGUUCCACAA
rnacentral:tmRNA from 1 species